UGGGGAAUCUUGGACAAUGGGCGCAAGCCUGAUCCAGCGAUGCCGCGUGUGUGAAGAAGGCCUGCGGGUUGUAAAGCACUUUCAGUGGGGAAGAUGAUGACGGUACCCACAGAAGAAGCACCGGCUAACUCCGUGCCAGCAGCCGCGGUAAUACGGAGGGUGCGAGCGUUAAUCGGAAUUACUGGGCGUAAAGGGCGCGUAGGUGGUCUGGUAAGUCGGAUGUGAAAGCCCCGGGCUUAACCUGGGAAUUGCAUUCGAUACUGCUGGGCUAGAGUAUGGUAGAGGAGAGUGGAAUUCCCGGUGUAGAGGUGAAAUUCGUAGAUAUUGGGAAGAACACCAGUGGCGAAGGCGGCUAUCUGGUCCGGUACUGACGCUGAGGCGCGAAAGCGUGGGGAGCAAACAGGAUUAGAUACCCGUGUAGUCC
rnacentral:rRNA from 1 species